UGAGGUAACCUUUUAGGAGCCAGCCGCCGAAGGUGGGACAGAUGAUUGGGGUGAAGUCGUAACAAGGUAGCCGUAUCGGAAGGUGCGGCUGGAUCACCUCCUUUCUAAGGAUAUUAUACGGAAUAUAAGACCUUGGGUCUUAUAAACAGAACGUUCCCUGUCUUGUUUAGUUUUGAAGGAUCAUUCCUUCGAAACGUGUUCUUUGAAAACUAGAUAACAGUAGACAUCACAUUCAAUUAGUAAUACAAGAUAUCACAUAGUGAUUCUUUUUAACGGUUAAGUUAGAAAGGGCGCACGGUGGAUGCCUUGGCACUAGGAGCCGAUGAAGGACGGGACGAACACCGAUAUGCUUCGGGGAGCUGUAAGCAAGCUUUGAUCCGGAGAUUUCCGAAUGGGGCAACCC
rnacentral:misc_RNA from 1 species